rnacentral:piRNA from 1 species
UGCAAGACGUGCCUUUAAAGGAGGCGGAUGC